UGUUUGUUGCUUAAGGGCGCAUGGUGGAUGCCUUGGCAUGCUGGGCCGAUGAAGGACGUGUGAGGCUGCGUUAUGCCUCGGGGAGUUGUCAACAAAGCGUUGAUCCGAGGAUGUCCGAAUGGGGAAACCCGGCCACGGUUGUGUGUGGUCACCGUAUGAUGAAUUCAUAGUUGUGCGGGGGUGAUACCGGGAAGUGAAACAUCUCAGUACCGGUGGGAGAGGAAAAUAAUAAUGAUUCUGUUAGUAGCGGCGAGCGAACGCGGAUGAGGCUAAACCGUGUGCGUGUGAUACCUGGCAGGGGUUGCGUGUGCGGUGUUGUGGGGUGCGAUGGUCAACGGUCUGCCAGUCGUUGCAUUUCUAGUGCGUGUUAGCGGAAGUGGCCUGGGAUGGUCUGCCGGAGGAGGUGAGAGUCCUGUACGUGAAGGCGUGUGCUGGUUGUGUGUCGUGUUUACCCCGAGUAGCAGCGGGCUCGUGGAAUCUGCUGUGAAUCUGCCGGGACCACCCGGUAAGCCUAAAUACCUAGUGUGA
rnacentral:rRNA from 1 species